UCCUUAGUGCGUUCUCAUUGUGGCGUGGGUAAGGGGAUAAUCCCCUUCUGUCAUAAGCAGCUGAUAGCGGCAGAAAGCACGAUUUCAGACAAAAAUCCAAUUCUUCACAGCUGGAGCUACAAGCAAAUCGUGAACCUCAGCAAAGGUCCCUUGACCCAGACAUUUUCUCUGCUGUGUCGUGAGAAUGAACAGUACGUCAAUUAGCAGUUAAAGACAGGUACUGUUCUCAUGCCUUUCUGCACUUCUGUUUAAGGUAUCGUUAUGUGCAAGACUGUAGUGAA
rnacentral:lncRNA from 1 species